GACGAACGCUGGCGGCGUGCUUAACACAUGCAAGUCGAACGGAAAGGCCCUGCGUUUGUGGGGUGCUCGAGUGGCGAACGGGUGAGUAACACGUGAGUAACCUGCCCUUGACUUUGGGAUAACUUCAGGAAACUGGGGCUAAUACCGGAUAGGAGCUCCUGCUGCAUGGUGGGGGUUGGAAAGUUUCGGCGGUUGGGGAUGGACUCGCGGCUUAUCAGCUUGUUGGUGGGGUAGUGGCUUACCAAGGCUUUGACGGGUAGCCGGCCUGAGAGGGUGACCGGCCACAUUGGGACUGAGAUACGGCCCAGACUCCUACGGGAGGCAGCAGUGGGGAAUAUUGCACAAUGGGCGGAAGCCUGAUGCAGCAACGCCGCGUGCGGGGUGACGGCCUUCGGGUUGUAAACCGCUUUCGCCUGUGACGAAGCGUGAGUGACGGUAAUGGGUAAAGAAGCACCGGCUAACUACGUG
rnacentral:rRNA from 1 species